GACGAACGCUGGCGGCGUGCUUAACACAUGCAAGUCGAACGGAAAGGCCCUGCUUUUGUGGGGUGCUCGAGUGGCGAACGGGUGAGUAACACGUGAGUAACCUGCCCUUGACUUUGGGAUAACUUCAGGAAACUGGGGCUAAUACCGGAUAGGAGCUCCUGCUGCAUGGUGGGGGUUGGAAAGUUUCGGCGGUUGGGGCUGGACUCGCGGCUUAUCAGCUUGUUGGUGGGGUAGUGGCGUACCAAGGCUUUGACGGGUAGCCGGCAUGAGAGGGUGACCGGGCACAUUGGGACUGAGAUACGGCCCAGACUCCUACGGGAGGCAGCAGUGGGGAAUAUUGCACAAUGGGCGGAAGCCUGAUGCAGCAACGCCGCGUGCGGGAUGACGGCCUUCGGGUGGUAAACCGCUUUCGCCUGUGACGAAGCGUGAGUGACGGUAAUGGGUAAAGAAGCACCGGCUAACUACGUG
rnacentral:rRNA from 1 species